GGUUCGCCAUGCGCGAUGAAAUGGGAAUGGGGUGAGAAUCCCCGACUGUCCCGCAGCUGUAUGGCCCUUUUAUCGCCACCAAGCGUGUAACGCCACUGCCUGUCGAAACCAGGCGGGAAGGUGCUUGGGGGUAGGGCCAAAGUCAGAAGACCAGCCCCUGAU
rnacentral:ncRNA from 1 species